AGGAGAUCACACAGAAGAUCACACAGCUGAGACCAGCCAGCAGUGGGAACCACGGUCCUCGACAGCAGCUGCCCUGAGGUUUAUCAUGGAUCGGCGUGAACUCCUCUUUGUGAUGAUUUGCCUCCUCCCAUCUCUAUUGCUUGGCUGU